AUGGGCCGCUACCUAAGCACCAACUGGUGUUCAAGUUCAGUGGACAAGACAUUGAGGUUAUUCUGCAGAGUGAGGUACCUGAUCAGCCUUCUCAGAAAGUACCCUUGUGUGGCUAAAGCGACACUCGGCAUGGACCCCCGCAGAUACUACCUGCUAUCUCCUCUUCAUCUGCCCAGACAAUGUAUAUUUAACAAUUUAAGCCACGGUGCCGCAGGCUCUGCUUCUAACCACUUCCUCUGGGAUUAUACCAAAGAACCGAUUCGUCUCCAGGUGGUGCGUCUUUACUCCUCCAAUACGAGUACAUUAAAAUCUGACGCUCCGAUUGGGAUCUUCGAGGAGGCUCCGAACGGUUUCCUGUCAAGAUCACUGGGAGGGAAUCUCGGUCAAUCCUUUGACAGAAUGGCCAGACACAUUAACAUGUAUUUCAAGGGAAAGGGUGUUUAUCCAGCUGUAAAGGAUGGCCCAGAAAGUCUUCGAAGGUCACAGAGGCGUAGUCAAAGCCAGACAGCAGCCAGAGAGCGGAAUAAAUCAGAGAAAGACACAAUGCGGACCUUGAAAAGCAAAGACAAACGGAACAGCUCAGGAAUCCCUCCUUCGACACAAGACGACCGUGGACUGCAACUAUUUCACAUCAGCGCUCUGGCAACAACUUUUGGAGAGAGCUACAGUUAUGUUGCCGGUCACAUUAAUUCAGUCUUCUCUCGCAGUUUUACGAAGGUUCAAAAGGAGGAGCCUUUGGACAGCAUUUCUCCCACAAGAGGGAACACCAGAAGGCUAAAGAAGAGACAAAUACCAAACACUUACAUCAUCAGGUCUAAAGAGGAUGAAAUGUCUCAAGCAAAAUCCGGUGCUGAUCUGCCAACAUUGGAGACUAACCACACCUCCAGCAGCUGGGAGGAGGGCUACCUACAUUUUGCAAGACACAUCAAUAAAUACUUUGGUGCCAAAGUUGCCAAAGAAGCGGAUCAAGAUCAGAAAAGACGAGAACAGAUUGAAAGGAAUGAUACCUCACAAGCCGGAGGCGCCAUGUCACAAAUGAAGCAAGACAAACAUAUCAUCCAUAACACAGAAGGUCUUUUCCACAGCAGCUGCAACACCAACUUUGGAGAUAACUAUUCCCAAACGGCCGAACACAUCAAUCAGUAUUUCAAGGGUCAGAGUGGAUCAGAUGAGGACAGUGAUCGAAAUGUCUUAAAAGAGAUGGAUCCUGGAUUUGCUAGUUCCGAGAGCCUAAAGGCCGUGACCUUCAUGGACUGCCUUUACAACCCGACCAGGGCCAUCCCUGACUUGCUGGGUGCUUAUCUGAACCUAGGCCCCCUGUCUCAGACUCGUAAGCCCGCCGUCACUUCACCAGAGACGAUGCUGACUAGAAAGGUGAGUUGUGGUAUGAAGUAUUCAUUGAACAACUGA
ensembl:lncRNA